GUGAGUGGAAGGAGGGAGAAAGGCAAGGGGGGGGGUGGGGGGACAGAUGGAUGACAUUAAGUGCUUUCUAUGUAUAAAUACUGGGCUAAGGUGAAGAUACAAAAAGAAAAGACGAUCCCCGUUCUCAAGCAGGGACGUUCUAACGGGGCAGAGACCACACAGAGGCUCGCCGGUGCUAUAACGGCCAGCGUUUACCAGCGGUUCGCAAGCACUGUAUGUUCGCCCCCCCCCACCCGGCUGUAGGGUGGGAUGCCUGUGACCCCUUUCAAAAGAGGAAACCGACUGGGCGAGGUUCCCGUCAGAUUUUAAGCUCAGAUCUUCAGCGCUGCUCCCCGCGCUGCCCCCACGGUCCAGUGAAGAGCAAAGGUGGGAUUUAUGACCAUUGUUCUCUUACACGGAGCCAUCACAGCCUUCUUUCCCAGGGGCCUUUGAUACUCAAUUCUGCUCAAACUGUCUUGUACAGAAGGGAUUCAGGUGAAUUAUGGUUUAUGAAUAAUGGGAAAUUGCUGUUCUAUAAGAAACGAUCAGCAGGAAGAUUUCAGCGGCCUGGGGAUACUACAGGAACUGAUGCUGAGGGAAGGGAGCGGAACCAAAAGAACAUUGGACACAGCAACAAGAAGAUUUUGGAAUGAUCUACUAUGGACGUGGCUCUUUUAAAUAAUAAAGUGAGUCAGACCAAUUCCAAUUGGCCUGAGAGGAGACGACUAGGGGGGCUCACUAAGGAUUACAACAUAGUAUUUUCACCUUUUUUGUAGUUGUUUGCUUUGGUUUUUUCCUCUCACAUUUUUUCUUACUUGAUCAGAUUUUUUUUGUGCAGCAUGAUAAAUGUGGAAAUAUGUUUAGAAGAAUUGCACAGGUUUAACAUAUAUUGGAUUACUCGCUCUCUAGAGAAAGAGGGAGGGAGGGAGAAAAAAUAUGGAGCACAAGGUUUUGCAAUGUAUUUCAAAAAAUAAAAAGAUGUUAAAAGUAAAAUUUAAAAGAUUUAGAAAAGUAUGAGGAAACUUAUAUGAACUGAUGCAAAGUGAAGUGAGCAGAAUCAGGAGAGGAAUGUAUAUAGUAGCCUCAACAUUCUAAAGAACAACUUUGAAAGACUUAAGAACUCUGAGCCAUGAUUCCAGAGACUUGAUGAUGAAAUAUGCUAUCCACCCACGUCUGGGUUGGGAGAAGUAAGAAGAAGAGACAAUAAAUGCUUAUUAAUUUUUUAAAAUUCCA